UUCGGCCCGAGUUGUAAUUUGCAGAGGAUGUUUAUGGUGCAGUACCUACCGAGUUCCCUGGAACGGGACGCCACAGAGGGUGAGAGCCCCGUCUGGUUGGAUACUAAACCUGUGUUAAACUCCUUCAACGAGUCGAGUAGUUUGGGAAUGCUGCUCUAAAUGGGAGGUAAAUCUCUUCUAAAGCUAAAUACCGGCCAGAGACCGAUAGCGCACAAGUAGAGUGAUCGAAAGAUGAAAAGCACCUUGAAAAGGGGGUUAAACAGUACGUGAAAUUGUUGAAAGGGAAGCGAUUAUGACCAGACUUGUGCCGUGUGGCUCAUCCGAGGUUCUCCCCGGUGCACUCCACACGGCUCAGGCCAACAUCGGUUUUCGUUGGGGGAUAAGAAUAGUAGGAACGUAGCUUUCUUCGGAGAGUGUUAUAGCCUAUUAUACGAUACCCUGACGGGGACCGAGGACCGCGCUUCGGCUAGGAUGUUGGCGUAAUGGUCAUUACCGACCCGUCUUGAAACACGGACCAAGGAGUCGUCCAUUAGAGCGAGCGUUUGGGUGUAAAACCCGCACGCGUAAUGAAAGUGAAAUUAGGUGAGAGCUUCGGCGCAUCAUCGACCGAUCCUGAAGUUUACGGAUGGAUUUGAGUAAGAGUUUUAACGGACGGACCCGAAAGACAGUGAACUAUGCUUGAAUAGGGUGAAGCCAGAGGAAACUCUGGUGGAGGCUCGCAGCGGUUCUGACGUGCAAAUCGAUCGUCAAAUUUGAGCAUGGGGGCGAAAGACUAAUCGAA
rnacentral:rRNA from 1 species